rnacentral:rRNA from 1 species
UACAGAGGGUGCAAGCGUUAAUCGGAAUUACUGGGCGUAAAGCGUGCGCAGACGGUUGCGUAAGUCAGAUGUGAAAGCCCCGGGCUCAACCUGGGAAUUGCAUUCGAGACUGUGUGGCUAGGGUGCGGAAGAGGGAAGCGGAAUUUCCGGUGUAGCGGUGAAAUGCGUAGAUAUCGGAAGGAACACCAGUGGCGAAAGCGGCUUCCUGGUCCAGCACCGACGUCAGGCACGAAAGCGUGGGGAGCAAACAGG